rnacentral:rRNA from 1 species
UACAGAGGGGGCGAGCGUUGUUCGGAAUUACUGGGCGUAAAGGGCGCGUAGGCGGCCCGCUAAGUCGAACGUGAAAUCCCCAGGCUCAACCUGGGAACUGCGUCCGAUACUGGCAGGCUUGAAUCCGGGAGAGGGAUGUGGAAUUCCAGGUGUAGCGGUGAAAUGCGUAGAUAUAUGGAGGAACACCGGUGGCGAAGGCGGCAUCCUGGACCGGUAUUGACGCUGAGGCGCGAAAGCUAGGGGAGCAAACGGG